rnacentral:lncRNA from 1 species
CGUGGGGGCUAAGUGUCUGUGAUUUUUAUUCUUGCUAACAAAGCCCAGACCGCACACCCCACACGCAGAUGGGAGCUUGUGCAGAGAUGCAGACGAGCCGUAGGAUACCCGCUUCCCUAACUGCCUGGCACGGAAUCUUGGCUACAUUUCCCAAAGUGUGGCCACGAGGCAGCAGCCCUCAGGUCUGCAGGCAUUUGCAGGGACUUCUGAAGGCUUAGUCCCAGGGGUGGCCAGGCUGGGAGCUACAUGCCAACUCGGCAUGUACUUUGGGGAAAUGAAAGUUGACCUCCGAGAUCAAAAAAGGAAAUGAAUCUAGCUGGCUACGUUGCUUUCCUCCCUGAUACUUGGGAGCAACUCCCCCCACCCCAACCGGCCUCGUCUAGACCCUUCCAUGCGGCCGAGAGACAAGCUUCGAGUCAGAUCAGUGUCUGGAACCAUAGGGAGGAAACAGAAGAGCAAGUGUCUGAUGUUCCCCUCACCCUCCAGCAUCAAACAGCCCCCGCUGAAAGAGCAGCACUCUCUUUCUCAUGACUUUUUUGAGGGCAAAGAUACCGCCUGGAGACACUGCCUCACGAGUGACAACUCUGGGCUCCAAAUGCUGACCAGCGGGCUGCUGUAGAUCACACCAAGAAGACAACUGGACACGAGGCAGGGUGAGCAGCUGUGUGGGGCUGAGACAGACCUGGGUUUCUUCUUCGAGAGGACGCAACAUUACAUGUAAGUGCACGGCUCGGGGCCUGGCCCUUCGAGGUGGUCGCAAAGGUUUGAUGGGUCCUGGGAAAAGCCCUUCAAUCAAAAUUAUCUUCCUCACUGACCUGUGUCAAGGAAACAUCUGCCACCACUCGGUCCCGAGAUUAUGUCCUUCGAAGGCUUCUGUUUAAACACAGACCACCUCUCAGGGGCUGGCGGGGAGGCGUCUGGGAAAGAAGCCCCUUCCCAGUGCGAAACACCUUUGUCUGAACUGAGUUUAUCAGGUCAACCAGUCAGUCAGUGAGCAGAGCCUUGACAACUGGAGGAACUGCAGACCCGUUUGGACCCGUUUGGAGGGGUGGCGUGAGAAGGGCCUUAGGGAAGGG